rnacentral:ncRNA from 2 species
AUAUCCGGCACUCUUUCAGGUGCCGCGGGCCUUCCCUGGUCCGCGCUUAAACAGGAAGCCGGUGAUGCCGUCCAACGGCCAAAGCCGACGCUGCCCCCGCAACGGUAGAUAAGUUAAACCUCCUCGAAUACGCCACUGUGCAACGCAUGGGAAGGCCGGGGAUGGGGCGAUACGCCGCUUAUGAGCCCGGAGACUGGCCUGUAAGAUUGUUCGAGA